rnacentral:rRNA from 1 species
AGCGAGAGAACUGUUGUUAAGGAACUCGGCAAAAUGACCCCGUAACUUAGGGAUAAGGGGUGCCACCAUCAGGUGGCCGCAGAGAAUAGGCCCAAGCGACUGUUUACCAAAAACAUAGGCUUCUGCUAAGUCGCAAGACGAUGUAUAGGAGCUGACGCCUGCCCGGUGCUGGAAGGUUAAGGGGAUCUGUUAGAGCAAUCGAAGCAGUGAACUUAAGCCCCAGUAAACGGCGGCCGUAACUAUAACG